rnacentral:rRNA from 1 species
GACGAACGCUGGCGGCGUGCUUAACACAUGCGAGUCGAACGCUGAAGCACCAGCUUGCUGGUGUGGAUGAGUGGCGAACGGGUGAGUAAUACGUGAGUAACCUGCCCUUGACUCUGGGAUAAGCCCGGGAAACUGGGUCUAAUACUGGAUGCUACAUGUCACCGCAUGGUGGUGUGUGGAAAGGGUUUACUGGUCUUGGAUGGGCUCACGGCCUAUCAGCUUGUUGGUGAGGUAAUGGCUCACCAAGGCGACGACGGGUAGCCGGCCUGAGAGGGUGACCGGCCACACUGGGACUGAGACACGGCCCAGACUCCUACGGGAGGCAGCAGUGGGGAAUAGUGCACAAUGGGCGAAAGCCUGAUGCAGCGACGCCGCGUGAGGGAUGACGGCCUUCGGGUUGUAAACCUCUUUCAGCAGGGAAGAAGCCACAAGUGACGGUACCUGCAGAAGAAGCGCCGGCUAACUACGUG